UCUACGCAUAGGCUUGGUCCUGGCCUUUCUGUUGGUUCUAGGUAAAACUACACAUGCAAGUAUCCGCGCCCCAGUGAGAAUGCCCUCUAAAUCAUACCUGAUUAAAAGGAGCGGGCAUCAAGCACACUACAAAGUAGCUCAUGACGCCUUGCUUAACCACACCCCCACGGGAAACAGCAGUGAUAAAAAUUAAGCCAUGAACGAAAGUUCGACUAAGUUAUACCUACUCCUCAGGGUUGGUAAAUUUCGUGCCAGCCACCGCGGUCACACGAUUAACCCAAAUCAACAGAAAUACGGCGUAAAGCGUGUUUAAGAGUGCAAAAAAAUAAAGUUAAAUUCUAGCUAAGCCGUAAAAAGCCCUAGCUAAAAUAAAAAUAAACUACGAAAGUGACUUUACGAAUUCUGAACACACGAUAGCUAAGACCCAAACUGGGAUUAGAUACCCCACUAUGCUUAGCCCUAAACCUAAACAAUCAACACAACAACAUUAUUCGCCAGAGUACUACUAGCAACAGCUUAAAACUCAAAGGACUUGGCGGUGCUUUAUACCCCUCUAGAGGAGCCUGUCCUAUAAUCGAUAAACCCCGAUAGACCUCACCAGCUCUUGCCAAUUCAGCUUAUAUACCGCCAUCCUCAGCAAACCUAAAAAGGAACUACAGUAAGCACAAACAUUAGACAUAAAACGUUAGGUCAAGGUGUAGCCUAUGAGCUGGGAAGAGAUGGGCUACAUUUUCUUCUAAAGAACACUUAAACUUCAUACG
rnacentral:rRNA from 1 species